UACGGAGGGUGGAAGCGUUGAUCGGAUUGACUGGGCGUAAAGGGAGCGUAGGCGGCUUGACAAGUCGGGAGUGAAAUUUCGGGGCUUAACCCCGAAACUGCUUCGAAACUGUCGAACUAGAGGAUAUUAAGGGAAAGCGGAAUACCACAUGUAGCGGUGAAAUGACGUAGAUAUGUGGUAGAACACCGGUGGUGAAGACGGCUUUCUGUGAUAUUACUGACGCUGAGGCUCGAAAGCAUGGGGAUCAAACAGG
rnacentral:rRNA from 1 species